rnacentral:ncRNA from 1 species
AUAGUUUUGGUCCUGGACUUACCGUUCUUUUUUUUCAAGAUUAUACAUGCAAGCCUCAACAAACCAGUGAAAAUGCCCACAACCCCUAAAAAGGUGUCCUGGAGCGGGCAUCAGGCACUACUCACCCCGGGCCCAUGACGCCUUGCCACGCCACACCCCCACGGGUCUUUCAGCAGUAAUAAACAUUGGGCUAUAAGCGAAAGCUUGACCCAACUAUGAAAAUUUAGGGCUGGUUAAUUUCGUGCCAGCCACCGCGGUUAUACGAAAAGCCCAAAAUAAUGGUUAACGGCGUAAAAUGUGACUAGAGAUUUUUAUAUUAAUAACACUAAAAACUCACUGUCCAGUUGUAAAAUACUCAGACAUAGAGGAAAACCAACACAAAGUGUUUUUAAUAAUAUAUUCUUGACCACACGAAAGCUUAGAAACAAACUAGGAUUAGAUACCCUACUAUGCUAAGCCCUAAACAUUGAUAGCUAACACACAAUGCUUUCCGCCAGAGGACUACAAGUGAAAUACUUCAAACUCAAAGGACUUGACGGUGUCCCAUAUCGGCCUAGAGGAGCCUGUCCUAUAAUCGAUACCCCCCGUUCCACCCAACCCCAACUAGCACCACAAUCAGCCUAUAUACCGCCGUCGACAGUUUACCCUAUGAAGGUCCAAUAGUAGAUACAACAGCCCUAACGCUAAUACGACAGGUCAAGGUGUAGCUAAUGCUGGGGAAGAGAUUGGCUACAUUUUUUAUAAUAAAAAAACACGAAAUGCAUUAUGAAACACUGCACGAAGGUGAAUUUAGUAGUAAAAUAAAUAAGAGAGUUUAUUUUAACAACGCUCUGGGAUGCGUACACACCGCCCGUCACCCUCCUCGACAUUUUACAUUACCUUAUAUAAACACUUAAAUAUUUAGCCAGAGGAGGUAAGUCGUAACAUGGUAAGCGUACCGGAAGGUGUGCUUGGACUAAC